AAGAUCAUACUUUUAGGGAUCAUUUCUAUAGUAUGUAUCUCCUUUCGCAAUCGUACACUUGUACGGUGCUUCGUCAACCACGAUGACGAGCUACAGUGCUCCCCUCUGAGCGCGAAGCGGGUCUCGGGUGCUACCUUCGGGUUUCCUGCCCUUGGCCAUUGAUGAACGUUCCUCCUCCCCUUAAGUGGGAGCAGGAGGAGGGGAACACAUUCUGAGUGGU
rnacentral:snoRNA from 1 species